rnacentral:rRNA from 1 species
GACGAACGCUGGCGGCGUGCUUAACACAUGCAAGUCGUACGGAAAGGCCCUUCCGGUGGUGCGUGCGCGGGUAGCGGGUGGGUAACACGUGCGUAACUUACCCACACCUGUGGGAUGGAUCUAUUAAACUGGCGCUAGUACUGGCCAUGUGGUCCUUCCUCAUGGUGGGGGGUGGAAAGCUCCUGCGGUUGUGGAUGGACGCGCGGCCUAUCAGCUUGUUGGGGGGGUAGUGGCCUACCAAGGGGGCGAUGGGCGGCCGGCCUGCGAGGGUGACCGGCCACAUUGGGACUUAGAUACGGGCCAGACUCCUACGGGAGGGAGCAGUGGGGAAUAUUGCACAAUGGGCGCGAGCCUGAUGCAGCAACGCCGCGUGCGGGAUGACGGCCUUCGGGUUGUAAACCGCUUUCCGCAGGGACGAAGCUUUUUGUGACGGUACCUGCAAAAGAAGCACCGGCUAACUACGUG